rnacentral:rRNA from 1 species
UAUUGGUCAAUGGGCGGGAGCCUGAACCAGCCAAGUCGCGUGAGGGAAGACGGUCCUACGGAUUGUAAACCUCUUUUGCCGGGGGACAAACGGCGGCACGCGGGCCGUCCUGAGGGUAUCCGGAGAAAAAGCAUCGGCUAACUCCGUGCCAGCAGCCGCGGUAAUACGGAGGAUGCGAGCGUUAUCCGGAUUUUUUGGGUUUAAAGGGUGCGUAGGCGGGAUGCCAAGUCAGCGGUCAAAUACGGGGGCUCAACCUGCGUCCGCCGUUGAAACUGGCGUUCUUGAGUGGGCGAGAAGUACGCGGAAUGCGUGGUGUAGCGGUGAAAUGCAUAGAUAUCACGCAGAACCCUGAUUGCGAAGGCAGCGUACCGGCGCCAUACUGACGCUGAAGCACGAAAGCGUGGGUAUCGAACAG